GCCUGGGUGGCUCAGUCGGUUGAGCGUCCGACUUCGGCUCAGGUCAUGAUCUCGCGGUUCGUGAGUUCAAGCCCCGCGUCAGGCU
rnacentral:tRNA from 1 species